GAGUGAACACAGCUCUUUUAGAAUGUUUCUAGCAGGAUUUCUGACUCUAGUUGGAAAAUCCAAG
ensembl:snRNA U7 U7 small nuclear RNA